AAACCUAAACCAAAUAUUUAAGUGUUUCCAGAAAGAAACCACUUUUUCCCAGAUAUUAAAAGAUAUUCCAAAAUCUCCAUUUAUUGCUUGCAUAGGUAACACGGUAGCGACUGCUGAGACUUUUUACGUCAUCGCUGAACGAGAAGUGGUGUGUUCCUGUAGAUCGUUUUUUGAAGCGGUAGCUUUUCAGUUUGCUUCGUUCUAUGUUUUCAACAUAGAAUAUCCAAAGAAGGCCUUGCUGACGUUUGAUUUUAUUCAGAGGUUCUUCGGUGACAUAAACCCCAGAGGCACUAAGUCG